AUGGCUUUUCCCAAGCUUUUCUUCAUUUCGUCUUUGCUGGUGGUGAUUUUGUCAGCCUCAAGCACCCAAAUGAGCCAUGCAGCUCGCCACCUUUUGGACACACCAGCAGCAGCUUCACCCCCAACACUGGCAAUCCCAACAAUCCCCUCUCUGCCAAAUCCCACUCAGCUGCCUCCAUUGCCUUCACUACCAACACUUCCCAAGCCCUCAAACACCUUGCCUACACUUCCAACUGCCCCAACUCUGCCCAAGACCACAUUGCCUCCGCUUCCCUCAACCCCAUUGCCUACGCUUUCAACUGCUCCAACUCUGCCAAAGCCGGCCACGUUGCCACCGUUGCCCUCUGCCCUCCCAACUACUCUGCCUCCGUUGCCAACCUCCCAACCCCAAAUCCCAUCUUUGCCAAAAUCCACAUUGCCUACGGUGCCCACAACCCUCCCUCCACUGCCAGCCAACCCCCUUCCCUCAUUCCCCUCAACAAUCCCUUCAAUUCCCACCAUUCCAUCAACUAUUCCAUCGAUUCCAUUCUUCUCCCCACCCCCAUCAAAUUAA
rnacentral:lncRNA from 1 species